CGCAUCUGUGCAUGCAGCAUAUCAAUAAGCGGAGGAAAAGAAACUAACAAGGAUUCCCCUAGUAACGGCGAGUGAAGCGGGAAGAGCUCAAAUUUGAAAUCUUAAAGGGUUUCCCUUUACGAAUUGUAGUUUAAAGAAGUGUUUUCUGUUGAGGUUUUGGUAAAAGUUCUUUGGAAUAGGACAUCAUAGAGGGUGAGAAUCCCGUAUUUGACCUUUACUUUCAACUUUGUGAUACACUUUCAAAGAGUCGGAUUGUUUGGGAAUGCAGUCCAAAAUGGGUGGUAAAUUUCAUCUAAAGCUAAAUAUUGGCGAGAGACCGAUAGCGAACAAGUACCGUGAGGGAAAGAUGAAAAGAACUUUGAAAAGAGAGUUAAACAGUACGUGAAAUUGUCAAAAGGGAAGCGUUUGACACCAGUGUUGUUUUUCUGAAAAUCAAUUAAAGAACUGUUUAUGCUAAGCUGUUUAGACUUUAUCAGCUAUCUGUUUAGUUUUGAGCUUUUCUUUAAUGCACUUUUCAGUUAACAAGUCAACAUCAAUUUCUUUUGCUGUAAAAAAGCUUGAGGAAGGAGGCUUGAGAUUCGUCUUAAGUGUUUAUAGCCUCUUGCCUAUGCAGUCGGAGAGAUUGAGGUCUGCAGCGUAGAUCCUUCGGGGCUAAAUGCAUUUGUGCUAAGUUAUAGCAUUUUAUAGACAACUUGUUGACUAUGAUUUGUCUUGUAGCUUACUCGCUUAUGUUAUUUUACCUACGCUUAGGAUGUUGAAUCUGUGCGAGACUAC
rnacentral:rRNA from 1 species